rnacentral:rRNA from 1 species
ACCUAUGGAGGGGGAUAACCCCGGGAAACUGGGGAUAAUACCCCAUAGACUAUGGAUGCUGGAAUGCUUUGUAGUUGAAAGGUCCGCCGCCAUAGGAUGGGUCUGCGGCCGAUUAGGUUGUUGUUGGGGUAACGGCCCAACAAGCCUGUAAUCGGUACGGGUUGUGGGAGCAAGAGCCCGGAGAUGGAUUCUGAGACACGAAUCCAGGCCCUACGGGGCGCAGCAGGCGCGAAAACUUUACAAUGCGGGAAACCGUGAUAAGGGAACUCCGAGUGCCCGUAAAAUCGGGCUGUCCAUCUGUUUAAAUAACAGGUGAAGAAAGGGCCGGGCAAGACCGGUGCCAGCCGCCGCGGUAAUACAGGCGGCUCGAGUGGUGGCCACUAUUACUGGGCUUAAAGCGUUCGUAGCUGGUCUGUUAAGUCUCUGGGGAAAUCUACCGGCUUAACCAAUAGGCGUUUCAGGGAUACUGGCAGACUAGGGACCGGGAGAGGUGAGGGGUACUCCAGGGGUAGGAGUGAAAUCCUGUAAUCCUUGGGGGACCACCUGUGGCGAAGGCGUCUCACCAGAACGGCUCCGACAGUGAGGGACGAAAGCUAGGGGAGCAAACCGGAUUAGAUACCCGGGUAGUCCCAGCCGUAAACGGUGCGCGUUAGGUGUAUCGGUGACCACGAGUCACCGAGGUGCCGAAGAGAAAUCGUGAAACGUGCCGCCUGGGAAGUACGGUCGCAAGGCUGAAACUUAA